GUGUUUGCUAAGGCAGCACAUAUGUCAAAUUGGAAACGAUACAGAGAAGAUUAGCAUGGCCCCUGCGCAAAGGAAGGGAAACAUUCUUUGAGUAUUACCCCCCCUGCGA